GCAGUCGAGGGGCAGCACGAAUAGUAAUAUUUGGUGGCGACCGGCAAACGGGUGCGGAACACGUACGCAACCUCCCCAAAACAGGUGAAUAGCCCUGCGAAAGUAGGAUUAAUACACCGUGAGAUAUAGCAGUGGCAUCACUAUUAUAUUAUAGACAGCAAUGUCGGUUUUGGAUGGGCGUGCGCCUGAUUAGGUAGUUGGUGUGGGUAACGGCCCACCAAGCCUUCGAUCAGUAACUGGUGUGAGAGCACGACCAGUCACACGGGCACUGAGACACGGGCCCGACUCCUACGGGAGGCAGCAGUAAGGAAUAUUGGUCAAUGGACGCAAGUCUGAACCAGCCAUGCCGCGUGAAGGAUGAAGGCCCUCUGGGUUGUAAACUUCUUUUAUCUGGGACGAAAAACGGACUUUCUAGUUCACUUGACGGUACCAGAGGAAUAAGCACCGGCUAACUCCGUGCCAGCAGCCGCGGUAAUACGGAGGGUGCAAGCGUUAUCCGGAUUUACUGGGUUUAAAGGGUGCGUAGGUGGGUAGGUAAGUCAGUGGUGAAAUCUUCAAGCUUAACUUGGAAACUGCCAUUGAUACUAUUUAUCUUGAAUACUUUGGAGGUAAGCGGAAUAUGUCAUGUAGCGGUGAAAUGCUUAGAUAUGACAUAGAACACCAAUUGCGAAAGGCAGCUUACUACACAGUUAUUGACACUGAGCACGAAAGCGU
rnacentral:rRNA from 1 species